UAUGGCCAUAUCACAUUGAAACAUCAAUUCCCAUACGAUCACCGAAGUUAAGCAACGUCGUGUUUGAUCGGUACUUAGAUUGGAGACCGAUUUGGAUGUGCCGAU